AUGAGGAUCCCCUCCCUGAGAAGAAGGUUCUGCUCUCGUGCUGGCCUGAACAGACUUGCACCACACUAUGGCAUUUGUGCUACUGACAUCCAAACAACAGUGAGAGCAAUUUUUUACUGUCCUCAGCCUCCCAGAUGCACUGCCUAAAAAUCUGUGACUAAUAGGCUCCACAUGAGUGACUCGUGCUGUAAAAACUUUCAGGGUGGAAAACUUCCAUCUAUACAUAUAGAUCUUCCUAGGCCUCCAGCAAGAACACCAGCAAGUGAAGAGGAUAAUGCACUCUCCCCUUUCCACCACAAGGAAGCUCAGAACAAUCAAUGACAAGCCACUGUUUGCAGUUAGAUCCUAUCUGCUUUUCUGGAGAGGAAAACUGGGGAUGCAAACAACAUUUGCAUGGCAAGAUUUUGUUUUCAGAAGAAGGAUGAGAGAAUAGUUGUUGAAAACUGUAAAAUCAACAUUGGAGGAAAAGAGAAGCUAGAAGCUAGACCAGAAAUUACAGUUCUGAUUUGGGUUAUUUACACUAUCCUGGGAAAUAAUUGAAUCCUUGUUCACCUGAGCAUAGAGGCUGACUGAUGUGCACACUGAAGGUAAAAGGUACUUGACUUAAGACCAAAAUUCCAGCUACUUUUUGUUCCACCAGUGCUGCAGCCAUGAAAUUUAUGUUCUUUUAGGCAGAUCCCAUACUCUAAAAGGCCACAGCUUGACCUUAAGAGAUUUAUUUUAAAAGAGACUGAGAAACUUGUCAAAAGA